GAUGAACGCUAGCGGCAGGCUUAAUACAUGAAAGUCGAGGGACAGCACAGGUAGCAAUACUGGGUGGUAACCGGCAAACGGGUGCGGAACACGUACACAACCUUCCUUUAAGUGGGGGAUAGCCCAGAGAAAUUUGGAUUAAUACCCCGUAAUAUAGUUGAAUGGCAUCAUUUGAUUAUUAUAGCUACGGCGCUUAAUGAUGGGUGUGCGGCUGAUUAGAUAGUUGGCGGGGUAACGGCCCUCCAAGUCUAAGAUCAGUAGCUGAUGUGAGAGCAUGAUCAGCAACACGGGCACUGAGAAACGGGCCCGGCUCCUACGGGAGGCAGCAGUAAGGAAUAUUGGUCAAUGGACGCAAGUCUGAAACAGCCAUGCCGCGUGAAGGAUUAAGGUCCUCUGGAUUGUAAACUUCCUUUAUUUGGGACGAAAAAGGGCCUUUCUAGGUCAACUGACGGUACCAGAUGAAUAAGCACCGGCUAACUCCGUGCCAGCCGCCGCAGUAAAAC
rnacentral:rRNA from 1 species